UCAGUCCGCUUGUGAAGCUCCUGGCGUUACCUUGGAUGCCAUUGUACUAUGGGACUGCAUCUGCAGAGGGGGGUGGAAUGCCACGUGUAGCAGUGAAUGCGUAAUGAUGUGCCGAACACUGAUGGUGAAGGCAGCCCCUGGGCUGAGAUGACGCUCAGGCACGUAAGCGUGGGAGCUAACAGGAUUAGAUACCAUGGUAGUCCACGCCCUAAACGAUGACAACUAGGUUUUGGGGAAGCGAUUUCUCAGUACCGCAGCUAACGCGUGAAGUUGUCCGCUGGGGAGUACGGUCGCAAGAUUAAAACUCAAAGGAAUUGACGGGGACCCGCACAAGCGGUGGAUGAUGUGGAUUAAUUCGAUGCAACGCGAAUAACCUUACCUACCCUUGACAUGUACGGAAGCCCAGCGAGAGCUGGGUGUGCCCGAAAGGGAGCCGUAACACAGGUGCUGCAUGGCUGUCGUCAGCUCGUGUCGUGAGAUGUUGGGUUAAGUCCCGCAACGAGCGCAACCCUUGUCCCUAGUUGCUACGCAAGGGCACUCUAGGGAGACUGCCGGUGACAAACCGGAGGAAGGUGGGGAUGACGUCAAGUCCUCAUGGCCCUUAUGGGUAGGGCUUCACACGUCAUACAAUGGCCGGUACAGAGGGUUGCCAAGCCGCGAGGCGGAGCCAAUCCCAGAAAGCCGGUCGUAGUCCGGAUUGCAGUCUGCAACUCGACUGCAUGAAGUCGGAAUCGCUAGUAAUCGCGGAUCAGCAUGUCGCGGUGAAUACGUUCCCGGGUCUUGUACACACCGCCCGUCACACCAUGGGAGUGGGGUGCACCAGAAGUAGGUAGGCUAACCGCAAGGAGGCCGCUUACCACGGUACGCUUCAUGACUGGGGUGAAGUCGUAACAAGGAACCAAGGGCGAAUCGCAGUAAUUACUAUCAUGAAUA
rnacentral:rRNA from 1 species